AUGUUACUGAGUGUGGGAGAGGAAUGGCGCCGGCGGCUGAAGGAACAAGAACAGAAACCGCUGGAAAAGCUGAGCAGGUCCGGCAGCUCGUGUUGAGAGAAAUGUGAGGACGUGUUUCGGGUCCGGUGAUCCUUCUUCAGAACAGGACCAGGUUUCAGAAACAUCCCGGGGAGGUCGCCAGGUCCGAGCGCCAAGACCUGGCUCCUGCCCCCGGGGAGAGGAGACAGUGAGACAGGUGUGACCUAUUUGGAUAGGGCAAGGCUUACCAGGGUAGCCCACAGCACAACUGGUAUCAAACUGGCACACAACACCUUUACAGGGUAAGGAUAUCAAAACUGAGCACCGUGUUCAAGAUGUAGUCCCACACUUGCUCUGUAACUGAGGCA